CUCACAUUCCUGGUGAAAGGAAAUUUGCUUCUAUAGGAAAUAGUUGAGAAGACCAAACUCUUGGAAAAAUAAGACUUCCAAGGAUCGAAUAUCAGAGGCAGAGGUAAGCAUCUACAGUAGCUGGGAGACUAGGGAACUAAAUGGCUUAGUCUCUUGGAUGGAGGAAGAAGUCUACUAGCUGCUGCUGCCCAGAUAGUUAAUACCCUAUCCUGAAACAGAGACUAGCAACUGAGCUGUGAGAGGCCAGAAGGAAACAGUGGCAUAACAAACACGCUGCCAUGGCAACAAAACAGCUGGAAAACACCUAAGAGGCUGCAUUUAUACCUAAACCACCAAGUGUGGUCAGUCCACAGGGAAGGGGUUGGAGGAGUAAGAAGUCCCCUAUAACUAACCCCUCUAUCCUCUGUUCCUGGACGAUGACUGCCAUUGACCUCAGAAAUUUAGGAUAUCUGGUUAACCAAAAUGGUUAAACAGACUUUUGGGGAUCUUGCCUGAGUUCUGUAGCUGAGGAUUAGUGAUCUCAUACCCAGAGACCUCUGCCACUGCCAGAUCUGUGCUGAAAUUAUACAUCCCACUACAAGAAAUGCAUCUUAAGAAAGCCUCAAGAGAGACAGCCUUCCCAGUAUCUUGGUCAAGAAUAAAUGUGAAACUGCUGGCAGAAACAGG
rnacentral:lncRNA from 1 species